ensembl:lncRNA
GGGACAAUGGCUCAUGAGGGAAAGGUAAGUCAAUAUUACGUUUUCUCGCUGACAAAGGCAAAUGAAGCCAUGUUUUUGCUUACAAACAAGCAUCCGACGCCUUGAUCCCGAGCUGUGCGCCGCCAGCCCCCCGCAGGCCGCUGGAGAACCGCGCGUCUCUUCUGUCGUAUCUUGGACAUCGUACCGGGACAGAUCAUCAUUUUUUAAACCUUCAAGGGAGGAUAUCUUUACACAAACUACUUGAGAAAGACUCAACUCUGUAAAAAAAAAACACGAGGACGCAGACAGAAGCAGAAAACAGUGUUUUGGAUUUCAGAGAAUGAGUUCCGGGGGGAGCUGGUGAAUCAGCGGUGGGCUCGAGGUGAGAGGACCAGAAGCCGUUGCAAGGCCUCCGAGAGACUGCAGAGCCGUCGACUGAGCAUGAUGAAUAAAGGGCCAUUUACUUGCAGCGGGGGACGUGGGAUGACCUUCUGUGUGAAGCCAGUGCCCCCAGCGAGCUAUUUACGUACGGG